UAAUAAGUGUUUUAUGGCACUUUUUAAAUCCAUAUCCACCUUGUGUGCAAUGUCAGUCGAUCUUCUUCAUGGAGAUCGACCAAACAUAACCUUUAUCUUUUAACUCUUUGUCUGAAAAAUAUUAUGAAUAAACAAUUCAAAAUA
rnacentral:misc_RNA from 1 species